UGAGGGAAUAUUGUACCAUUCCUUUACUCAUGUGGUCCUUGUGUAGAGAGAGAGAGAGAGAGAGAGAGAGAUAGAAGAAAAAGAAGGGAACUAGGAAGACCAUCUCUUGUUGUUUGAAAUCAAGAAUCUAGGUUAAGACUCGAGGGUUGAUUGACCAUUGCAAGAAACCAUUGUGGGCAUUCUGGAGUUCGAGCCUAAAGGCUUUUGUUCGGAUCUGUGUUCUGUUGUCAGCUAACCAUUGUGCCUCACGUGGAGGUUCCCGAAGAGUCCUGUGUUUAAGUUCCGUUGUUUCUGUACAUAUAAGACUUGGUAGUUUUGUUGGCUGUACUUAAGAUACAUUAAUAUGUGUGGGUAUAAUGUAUGAAUGACUAUUGCAUACUUAUAUAAAGUUUUAAAUACUCUGUUCA